UACGUAGGGGGCUAGCGUUGUUCGGAUUUACUGGGCGUAAAGCGCACGUAGGCGGCGCGGUAAGUCGGGUGUGAAAUCUCGGAGCUUAACUCCGAAACUGCAUUCGAUACUGCCGUGCUUGAGGACUGGAGAGGAGACUGGAAUUUACGGUGUAGCGGUGAAAUGCGUAGAUAUCGUAAGGAAGACCAGUGGCGAAGGCGGGUCUCUGGACAGUUCCUGACGCUGAGGCACGAAGGUCAGGGGAGCAAACGGG
rnacentral:rRNA from 1 species